rnacentral:rRNA from 1 species
GAUGAACGCUGGCGGCGUGCCUAAUACAUGCAAGUCGAGCGAACAGACGAGGAGCUUGCUCCUCUGACGUUAGCGGCGGACGGGUGAGUAACACGUGGAUAACCUACCUAUAAGACUGGGAUAACUUCGGGAAACCGGAGCUAAUACCGGAUAAUAUAUUGAACCGCAUGGUUCAAUAGUGAAAGACGGUUUUGCUGUCACUUAUAGAUGGAUCCGCGCCGCAUUAGCUAGUUGGUAAGGUAACGGCUUACCAAGGCAACGAUGCGUAGCCGACCUGAGAGGGUGAUCCGCCACACUGGAACUGAGACACGGUCCAGACUCCUACGGGAGGCAGCAGUAGGGAAUCUUCCGCAAUGGGCGAAAGCCUGACGGAGCCCCGCCGCGUGAGUGAUGAAGGUCUUCGGAUCGUAAAACUCUGUUAUUAGGGAAGAACAAAUGUGUAAGUAACUAUGCACGUCUUGACGGUACCUAAUCAGAAAGCCACGGCUAACUACGUG